rnacentral:rRNA from 1 species
CCUGGCGGCGAUAGCGCGGUGGUCCCACCUGACCCCAUGCCGAACUCAGUAGUGAAACGCCGUAGCGCCGAUGGUAGUGUGGGGUCUCCCCAUGCGAGAGUAGGGAACUGCCAGGC